AUGUACAUGUUUGAUAGUGUUGGUGAGCCAAUUGGAAAGGCUGUCAUAAUAGGCCAGUUGGACGAUCAGCUUCUAGUUCAAGCACAUCAAUAUGUCUUGCGACACUCAGAUGAGCUUCAUGAUCUUCGUAGAGAAUUUUUGGACCAAGAGAAGAGGAAACCGGGUAAAUUAAAUUUGAUGGAUGAUGACAAUGAGGAUUUGAUUAGUAGACACUUUGCUGACUGGUUGGAACAAAAGGUUAUACUAGAUGAUGGACCAGAUAUCACAGAAAAGAUAAGAGCAUUAGCCGAAAACCAAGCAAAUGCAGGGUGCGCUAUAGUGGCUAUAUAA
rnacentral:rRNA from 1 species